rnacentral:rRNA from 1 species
UACGGAAGGCAGCAGUGGGGAAUAUUGCACAAUGGGCGCAAGCCUGAUGCAGCCAUGCCGCGUGUAUGAAGAAGGCCUUCGGGUUGUAAAGUACUUUCAGUCGUGAGGAAGGUGUUAAGGUUAAUAACCUUAGCAAUUGACGUUAGCGACAGAAGAAGCACCGGCUAACUCCGUGCCAGCAGCCGCGGUAAUACGGAGGGUGCGAGCGUUAAUCGGAAUUACUGGGCGUAAAGGGCACGCAGGCGGUUAAUUAAGUUGGAUGUGAAAUCCCCGGGCUUAACCUGGGAAUGGCAUUCAAGACUGGUUAGCUAGGGUCUUGUAGAGGGGGUAGAAUUCCAUGUGUAGCGGUGAAAUGCGUAGAGAUGUGGAGGAAUACCGGUGGCGAAGGCGGCCCCUGGACAAAGACUGACGCUCAUGUGCGAAAGCGUGGGGAGCAAACAGGGAUUAGAUACC